UACGUAGGGGGCAAGCGUUGUCCGGAAUCAUUGGGCGUAAAGAGCGUGUAGGCGGCCUUAUAAGUCGGCUGUGAGAGUCAAGGGCUCAACCCUUGAAUGCCGGCCGAUACUGUGAGGCUAGAGUCCGGAAGAGGCGAGUGGAAUUCCUGGUGUAGCGGUGAAAUGCGCAGAUAUCAGGAGGAACACCGAUGGCGAAGGCAGCUCGCUGGGACGGUACUGACGCUGAGACGCGAAAGCGUGGGGAGCGAACAGG
rnacentral:rRNA from 1 species